UACGGAAGGCAGCAGUGGGGAAUAUUGCACAAUGGGCGAAAGCCUGAUGCAGCUAUGCCGCGUGUAUGAAGAAGGCCUUAGGGUUGUAAAGUACUUUCAUCGGGGAGGAAAAAACAAAACUAAUAAUUUUAUUUCUUGACGUUACCCGAAAAAGAAGCACCGGCCAACUCCGUGCCAGCAGCCGCGGUAAUACGGAGGGUGCUAGCGUUAAUCAGAAUUACUGGGCGUAAAGAGCACGUAGGUGGUUUUUUAAGUCAGAUGUGAAAUCCCUGGGCUUAACCUAGGAACUGCAUUUUGAAACUGAAAUACUAGAGUAUCGUAGAGGGAGGUAGAAUUCUAGGUGUAGCGGUGAAAUGCGUAGAUAUCUGGAGGAAUACCUGUGGCGAAAGCGGCCUCCUAAACGAAUACUGACACUGAGGUGCGAAAAGCGUGGGGAGCAAAACAGGGAUUAGAUACC
rnacentral:rRNA from 1 species